rnacentral:lncRNA from 1 species
GUCAUAAGGAUGCAAUCCAGUUCCUUUGUGGCUGCGUGAGAGGAGACACAGUUGGAGCAGACGUGACGACGACAGGUCACUUGCUUCACUUCCUUGGAUCAUUGUGGGAUCUCGGAACAUUGGCCGUGGGUCCAGGCCUCUUUCAUGGAACUGAGAUGGCUGCAAGAAGUAGCUCGGCUUGAUUUGUUAGAACUGAGAUCCACAAACAAACCCCCUAUUUUUGGUGCAACAAGCAAACAUAGUGGUUGCGAGGACCAUGCCAGCAUGUAUUUAGUCCCACAUUAAGAUGAAUUUAAUGUAUUCAUAUGGAAUCAACAAAUUUAAAUAAUAUUUUCUAACUAGUUCUUUUGAGUGCGGUUCUAGAUUGAAGCAGUACAGUAGUGUGAAUAGCAAUCUUUUUAGUGAGUUCGGAUUCUUGAGUUCAUACUAAACAGAACUUCUUGAUGGCAAAGUUUAUGAGCUACGAGGUAAAAUUAAGGUUCAGUAGAUUGGAUGGAGAAGACCAGGAUGAUUGAAGUCCCAGUUCAGGCUUUCAGCAAUGAGACAUUCAGACUUGAGCUGAUCGUGGGUCUAAGAUAUUAGUAGGCUGUGACAGUGACCAAAGCCAACAUAUCUGAAUCCAAUUGAGUUGGUUAUGAAUCAUGACUCUGGAAAGAAACAAUUUUGAGUCCGCUUACAUGCCGGACUUGGGCUUUUUAUCCUUAGGCAUUUAGGCCCCGUUUGGCA